rnacentral:rRNA from 1 species
UACGUAGGGUGCAAGCGUUGUCCGGAAUUAUUGGGCGUAAAGAGCUCGUAGGCGGUCUGUCGCGUCGGCUGUGAAAACUCGGGGCUCAACUCCGAGCUUGCAGUCGAUACGGGCAGGCUAGAGUUCGGCAGGGGGAGACUGGAAUUCCUGGUGUAGCGGUGAAAUGCGCAGAUAUCAGGAGGAACACCGGUGGCGAAGGCGGGUCUCUGGGCCGAUACUGACGCUGAGGAGCGAAAGCGUGGGGAGCGAACCGG